AAACAAUGAUGAACACCAUUAUCCCGAAUCUGAACACUUUUUGAUGAUACAAACUACGGAUCUGACUACUGAGUU